AAUUGGUUUGGGUGCUGCUAGGGGCCUUGCUUGGUUACAUCAUGGUGUUCACCCACCUAUCUUGCACCAAAACAUAUGUUCUAAUGUUAUUUUCCUCGAUGAAGACUUUGAUGCUAGAGUAAUGGAUUUUGGGCUGGCAAGAUUGAUGACGUCAGAUGCAAAAGAGUCUAGUUAUGUGAAUGGGGAGUUGGGUGAAUUUGGCUAUGUAGCUCCAGAAUACUCUAGCACAAUGGUGCCUUCACUGAAAGGGGAUGCUUAUAGUUUUGGGGUAGUGCUUUUGGAGUUGGCUACUGGACAAAAACCUCUUGAAGUUACUGCUGGUGAAGAGGGAUUCAAGGGUAAUUUGGUAGACUGGAUGAAUCAGCUCUCUGCUUCGGGUCGCAUUAAAGAUGCAAUUGACCAGAACAUGCGUGGGAAGGGGCAUGAUGAAGAGAUUGUGCAGUUCCUAAAAGUUGCUUGUAAUUCUGUGGUUUCUCGGCCCAAUGAUAGGUGGUCUAUGUAUCAGGUUUAUGAAGCACUUAAGAGCAUGGCUGAAAAACAGGGUUUCUCUGAACAGUAUGACGAAUUCCCGUUACUAUUUGGCAAAGAAGGUACUAUUAGAAGCCCUGUUUGAAGCCGGAAUUGCGAAAUUAUUACUAAAUGUUCACUCCAAAUGAACAUGAUGCAUCCUGUUGUAAGUUUUCAGUUCCUAUUGGUGUAAGUGGCAUGGCACUGUUUUGAUUGGCUCAGAAGUACACCCUUUAAAUAUUUCUGUAUUAUAUUUGCAAAAUGCACAAAUCAUUCUCAAGUAUUUGCUUGCUUGAUAUUUGUAGUAUAGGAAGCUGAUAAUUAUUGUUCAUGUUUGUGAUUACCGUUGCCUAUAGCAUUAGAUGUUAUGUAUUCAAAGGAUUCUCAACUGAACGUCUCUUUUAAUGGAAA
rnacentral:misc_RNA from 1 species